CGGACGGGUGAGUAAUGUCUGGGAAACUGCCUGAUGGAGGGGGAUAACUACUGGAAACGGUAGCUAAUACCGCAUAAUGUCUGCGGACCAAAGCGGGGGACCUCCGGGCCUCGCGCCAUCAGAUGAACCCAUAUGGGAUUAGCUUGUAGGUAAGGUAACGGCUUACCUAGGCGACGAUCCCUAGCUGGUCUGAGAGGAUGACCAGCCACACUGGAACUGAGACACGGUCCAG
rnacentral:rRNA from 1 species